AUGGCGGGCGUCGGGUCGGCGGUGCGGCGGCUCUACCUCUCCGUCUACAACUGGGUCGUCUUCGUCGGAUGGGCGCAGGUGCUCUACUACGCGGUGACGGCGCUGCUGGCCGGCGGCCAUGAGGGCGUCUACGCCGCCGUCGAGCGCCCGCUGCAGCUCGCGCAGACCGCCGCCGUCAUGGAGAUUCUUCAUGGGCUCGUAGGGUUGGUGAGGUCUCCGGUCACUGCAACUCUUCCACAAAUAGGAUCGAGGUUGUUUCUUACAUGGGGCAUCCUGUGGAGCUUUCCUGAGACACAAUCUCAUAUUCUUGUAACUUCUUUGGUCAUAAGCUGGUCCAUCACCGAGAUCAUUAGAUAUUCUUUCUUCGGCUUGAAGGAGAUGCUUGGAUUUGCACCUUCUUGGCUUUUAUGGCUUAGGUAUAGCACAUUUCUGAUAUUGUAUCCUAUCGGUAUCCUUAGCGAAGUUGGUCUAAGCUACAUUGCUCUGCCUUAUAUGAAGGUAUCUGAAAAAUACUUUGUUAAAAUGCCUAACAAAUGGAAUUUCUCCUUCGACUACUUCUACACAUGUGUUAUCGCCAUUGGUGUCUAUGUUCCAGGUGGGCCGCACAUGUUCACGUACAUGCUUGCCCAGAGGAAGAAGGCCCUGUCAAAGGCAAAGACUGCAUGA
rnacentral:rRNA from 1 species